rnacentral:tRNA from 41 species
GGCGGCAUAGCCAAGUGGUAAGGCAGAGGACUGCAAAUCCCUGAUCCCCCAGUUCAAAUCUGGGUGUCGCCU